rnacentral:rRNA from 1 species
AGUGAACGCUGGCGGUAGGCCUAACACAUGCAAGUCGAACGGCAGCACAGUAAGAGCUCGCUCUUACGGGUGGCGAGUGGCGGACGGGUGAGGAAUACAUCGGAAUCUACUUUUUCGUGGGGGAUAACGUAGGGAAACUUACGCUAAUACCGCAUACGACCUACGGGUGGAAGCAAGGGAUCUUCGGACCUUGCGCGAUUGAAUGAGCCGAUGUCGGAUUAGCUAGUUGGCGGGGUAAAGGCCUACCAAGGCGACGAUCCGUAGCUGGUCUGAGAGGAUGAUCAGCCACACUGGAACUGAGACACGGUCCAGACUCCUACGGGAGGCAGCAGUGGGGAAUAUUGGACAAUGGGCGCAAGCCUGAUCCAGCCAUACCGCGUGAGUGAAGAAGGCCUUCGGGUUGUAAAGCCCUUUUGUUGGGAAAGAAAAGCAGCAGGUUAAUACCCCGCUGUUCUGACGGUACCCAAAGAAUAAGCACCGGCUAACUUCGUG